rnacentral:tRNA from 1 species
GGAUAGUUGGCCGAGUGGCUAGUAGGCGGUAACUUGCAAACUUACCUGAGGUUGGUUCGAAUCCAACACUAUCCUCCA